rnacentral:rRNA from 1 species
GACGAACGCUGGCGGCAGGCCUAAUACAUGCAAGUCGAACGCACCGCAAGGUGAGUGGCAGACGGGUGAGUAACGCGUGGGAACCUUCCUAGUAGUACGGAAUAACUCCGGGAAACCGGUGCUAAUACCGUAUAAGCCCUCCGGGGGAAAGGAUUUAUCGCUACUAGAUGGGCCCGCGUCGGAUUAAGCGUUGUUGGUGAGGUAAUGGCUCACCAAGGCUUCGAUCCGUAGCUGGUCUGAGAGGAUGAUCAGCCACACUGGGACUGAGACACGGCCAGACUCCUACGGGAGGCAGCAGUAGGGAAUAUUGG